AGGUGGGGAGUGGGGGCAGUUUGUCUCCAGUUCAUUUAAUGACCCAGGCUAAGCGCCACCAGAGAGGAGCCAAGCCCGGCAACCCCUGGCUUCCUCUGAUCUGAGCUCUCCCCUUAAAGCUGUGCAGCCCCGUGGAAGUGGCAUCAGAUGUGGGAGCGACAGCAGCCAAGGCCACAUCAGGCAACAGCCAUUCCUUCCGCCCAUGUGUGCCAUAAGGAGGAGGAGGAGGAAGGAGACAGGUGCUCACAGGGGGAAUCUUGCCUUGUUGUCCAGGAACCUGAUGCCCAGAGACAGAGACCUCAAGGAGAAGCCUUUUUGGCAUGACUUUGGCAACACUGCCUGCCCAUCAUUGUCUUCUUUGCAUUCAGCUCUCUGGACCAGCAGCUGCACCUUUAGCACCACCUACACAAGGACCAUGCAGUAAAUGCCACCCUUGUGACGGAGGAGGCCUAAGAGACAGCAACAGGUGAGGUGCCCUCUGGUGUUCCCACUCCCUCCUGGGGUGCUGCCAGCACUCGAUCUUGGCUUCCUGGGGUGACCUAUGCAAGGGCCAGAGCUCUGGGUCCAGUCCCACUUGCCCUCAGCCCUGCUCUGCCUGCCCUGCUCUUUCUGCUCCGUGAGGCCAGGGGAAGAUCUGCCCAAGGAAGGAGGCUCCUUCAUCCCCCGCUCAGCUCCCAGCGACCCUCCAGCACAUACUACCGAGGGCAGCCCUGCCCAGACCAUUCCCCCAUUUCCAAGGGCUCUGAAUUACUGUCCGGCUGUUCUCCCAGCCAGAGGCUGAGCCAUCAGAGCUCCUGCCUGUUGUUCUCCAGGUGGCUCGUGCUCUCUCCUGGACUAGCAGGUGGGACAUCAGUGCACGUGGACUAUGGAGCUGGACUCACCACUUCCGUGCCCAGCUCAGACCUGGGGUGAGAGCUGGGGCAGUCACAAGCAGCAGCUCCUAGCGGACGGCCCGUGGGCUGAACUGUUAGGAGCAGCGUGGACGUCUGGCAGCUGUGGGGGCUGCAGGUGCUGUAAGCCCUGGGCACAUUUCUGAGUGCCGGGGCUGUAAGAAGAAGCAGCCAAGUGGUGGAGGACUUUGCUUUUGGCAGCUGCCAGAGACUCGUGCCUCAGGAUCUGGGAAUGUGAGCAGCUUGCCAUGGCUGAUCACGUCCCAGGUUUAGGGACUGGUAGGCACGCGCAGUUUAGAGGUUAGACCAUGGGACAGAGCACCUGCACCCUCCUGCCACCUCUGAAGCAGGCUCCCUGGAUGGCCUUUUAUGAGCCAACCCCCCUUGCUGAACAGAUCCAGACUCUCCAGGCACCAAAAUAGGGGCAGCUGAGCUCCCAGCAGCUAGUCAUGCUGGAAGAUCAGGCUUCUGCUCCUCCAAGUGAAACUGGGAGUCAUGCUGGUCCCUGGAGCCAGGGGUACCAGGAUAUCCAGUCCACUCCUGCUUAGUCACCGAGAUCCUCUAUGGUGAGGUGCCAGCGAAGUGCUAGGUGCCAUUGCUCCUGACGGUGACAAAGCAAGCCAUGCUUGCUGCCACAUGCAAGCUGGGGAGAGCUUCGUACGCACUGUACUUCCAAGGUUUGGACUGACGUGUUCCCAGCCACAAGGAGCCAAUGAGUAAUUCUGUAGGUGGCACAUGUUGCUGUGCCAGGGGCUCUGGCUGGAUUACUCAUACUUACUACAGACAUACGACUAAGAACAGCUGGGAGCUUAACUUCAGAAGCUGCAAAAUGGUAUGGGGGUGUCAGAGAAGAAGCGGUGCCUGAUUUAAGACCUGGUCCCUGACCCUCAGCUCUUUGCAGGUGGCUUAAUGCCAGCCCUGUACCCAGGUGGGCUGUGCCCUUUGAGCAGUGCUGCCUGUUUCAAUGCCAAACCACCUUCAGGAUCCAGGCCCGUGUUUGCUCUUCCUCAGUACUAGGAGACCUGUUCUUUGGUCCUAUGCAAGACCCAAGAAACUUGUUGCAAGACCCAAGGAACUUGUUGCAGAGACUGCACUCUUAAAGCAGGGGAUUCUGGAAAAUGUCCUUCUCAGACGCAGGAUGUGAUGGGGGAUCAGGCAAGGGGAUCUUUGAAGACCAAACAGGUACUCACUCCUGGGUCCAAGGGCUUCCCACUGCUUUAACCUCCUUGAGCGCUGCCAGUGCUACUUCUGGGAUCACUUCAUCACUCAUCCUGUAACCCCAGUGGCUUCAGAUGGGAUGCAGGAAGAGCUGGGCUUCUCUGUCUGCUGCAAGUUGCACCGAUUUCAGAGCUCCCUGCCCGCUCCCUCACUGAUACCCAAGGUCUCUCCUGCAUAAGCUUGGCUCUAAACUAAAGACUGAGCAAGGGGCAUGUGGAGCCUCCAGUGGCACUAGAGACCCAUCACUGAUUUCAGUAAUGCUUUUGUCAGUCCCAUGACCCUACCUGCUGGAUACCUGGGCACUUACCGUUAGGGCUGACCCUCCAUUUGCAGUGGGUGGCUUAACCCCUGCCUGCGCAAUGACCCUGUCAGGACUUCCUGGGCCACAGACAGUUUCAUUCUGUUUUCAUACAGCGCUGAGCAAAUACUCAGUCUCUAGGCAUAGGAGCAGUAAAAUAGGCACCAUGUGAACCACAGGUCUGAAAAGUCUUGCUGCCAGGUCUCCAUGCCUUGCAGGGUUAACCGAGAUGUAAAUGGUACCUAAGCCUCUUGCUGGUCCUCCGAAUGGGAUGGCUUUCCCAGCCCAGCCCAGCCCACAUGAAGCAAACUGAUGCCACCCACUUAGGGCUUUACACAUGGGGCCAGACCCUGUGGCAUGCUCAGCCCUUGCCUCCCCUGCUUUCUCUGGUGCGGCUCAGGGCCCUUCUGGGAUUUGCUUGCGAGCGGCUUGGAGUCCUUGGAACUGUUGCCUUUCCCUCUAGAACAGACCACGGCCGCCCGGUCCU